UUCCGACCUCUGAUUUUUCACCUCUGUCUCCAAAGAGGAUUGGUGACCAUUUCUCUAAAGUAUCACCUGGCCCAGUGGUAUCCAGUGCAUUCCAUGCAGGCAGAGCAGGAAUGAGUGGUCCCCUGAGGUACCUCCUGCCCAAGGACAUUUCAUUUCCUCCUCAAACGCCCUUGGUUUGCCCUGAUGCCUCCUGAGGGUGUUCCUGGGAUGUAGAUUUGGCACCUUGGUCCUCCUAAGCCUGUUCUUCGGACAGAACAGAUUUCUGCAGAUGUUUCUCUGUAAUUCAUCUGCCUUUGAGUGCCCAGAGCCAGUCCCAAUACCAGCCAAGCAGCUGCCAGUCUUACAGACCUGCACUUACAACUUGCUAGUUAAGCUCUAUCUCUCAGGUUUAUUAAUUGAUUAAAUUCAGCUACUCUCUUCUCCAUUAAUUGAGCCCUGUCUGGGCAGAAAGCCAUUGAUUUUCUUACCUGUUGGCAUACAGCUGGCUUCCUUCCAACCCUGUGUAAUUGUCCCUGUGCUCAGAGCUAUUGGGUGCUGGGCUCAAUGAACCCUGUGCGUCCCUUCCAGCUCAGGACAUUCUGUGAUUCACGGCAAUGCAGAGUUCAGUCACUGUUUGCACAUCAGUGUGGCUGUGUUAUCCAGGACUUUUGAUAAGUGCUUUGGAAACAAUGAAAGCAUUGGUUUGUUCCUUUCUGUCCAAUGGAAAUUUUGCUGGAUGUGUCUGGGGUAGGGAAGAGAAAAAAAAGGGUUUCACCUGCUCUCAAUGCAGCAAUGUUGGCAGAACUUGCUCUCUGUACAAGACCAAAACUUGUUGAAACUUCUGCAUCACUGAUAAUCUCACAUCCUGUCGGGGAACUGGGCAGUUUCAGGUGUGUGUCUCCCUCCCUGCACCUGUAUCUCUGACUUUCACCAUCUGUGCCCUGUCUGUUCUGCCGUGCUCUUUGCUUCCCUGAUACGUACUAAUCGUGAUGGCUUGCUUGAAAGAGAAGAAACUCGUGUUGGGGUAGCAUUAGGCCAGAGCAGGAGCAGCUGGUGUGCCCCUGGCCACGGGCAGGCCUGGCAGGCAGCAUGGCCAGGCUGGUGGCAGCUCUGCAGCUGCCCUUUGUCCCAGCACCGACCAGCACAGGCAGGAUCCUGCUUUCCAGCACCGCAGGCAGCGCGCUCCUGGGUAAGUGUUCAUGCUGUGAUUAAAUUUGUGCCCUCAAAAGCUGCUUUGUUGGGGUCCAAGCUGCAGAUCCUGAAGCUCUUCUGCUUUUCUUCUGACUUAGGACAGACGUGAUGCUGCCAGAGGUUUCCAUAUGGAUUUCAGUGGGCUCACAGCGUGCAGCAGAGAAACACUUGGCCCCACUGUGCAUUCACAAAAGCUGAAUAAAACCAUGGACCACAAGGAUGCACUGGGGAUGCUGCUCAGAAUGAGAGAGGUCACAGACGUGGAGAGCUGGUCCUGCUGCUCUUUGGCUGGAGUUGCAGCCCUGGUUGUAUCUGCCAAGCUGGAGGGUCCCAAAACAAGGCAAGUGGUGCUGCUCAGCAGGAUGAGGUUUUGCAGCAGGAGAAGACCUGCAGUGGGCAGCAUAAGAAGCUGUAGUCUCUGGCACUGCCCAAAGUUCCUUUCCAUUGCUCCUGGAUGCCUGGUUCUGCAAGAGGAGUCAGAAGUGAACUGACAAGGCUCAGCAUUGGAAGGAUUCCUUUUCACACUGUAUGUUUUAACCCAGGUAAGCAGUUGCACUGUAAGUAUUUUAUGCUGUUUGUUUGCCCAGUGGUGGACUCUGUUAGGCUGCACUUUUCGCUUUCAUAAUAAUAAAUCUGACUUAAAGCAA